rnacentral:rRNA from 5 species
GGGUUGUGAGGUUAAGCGACUAAGCGUACACGGUGGAUGCCCUGGCAGUCAGAGGCGAUGAAGGACGUGCUAAUCUGCGAUAAGCGUCGGUGAGGUGAUAUGAACCGUUAUAACCGGCGAUUUCCGAAUGGGGAAACCCAGUGUGUUUCGACACACUAUCAUUAACUGAAUCCAUAGGUUAAUGAGGCGAACCGGGGGAACUGAAACAUCUAAGUACCCCGAGGAAAAGAAAUCAACCGAGAUUCCCCCAGUAGCGGCGAGCGAACGGGGAGGAGCCCAGAGCCUGAAUCAGUGUGUGUGUUAGUGGAAGCGUCUGGAAAGGCGCGCGAUACAGGGUGACAGCCCCGUACACAAAAAUGCACAUAUUGUGAGCUCGAUGAGUAGGGCGGGACACGUGGUAUCCUGUCUGAAUAUGGGGGGACCAUCCUCCAAGGCUAAAUACUCCUGACUGACCGAUAGUGAACCAGUACCGUGAGGGAAAGGCGAAAAGAACCCCGGCGAGGGGAGUGAAAAAGAACCUGAAACCGUGUACGUACAAGCAGUGGGAGCCUCUUUAUGGGGUGACUGCGUACCUUUUGUAUAAUGGGUCAGCGACUUAUAUUCUGUAGCAAGGUUAACCGAAUAGGGGAGCCGAAGGGAAACCGAGUCUUAACUGGGCGUUAAGUUGCAGGGUAUAGACCCGAAACCCGGUGAUCUAGCCAUGGGCAGGUUGAAGGUUGGGUAACACUAACUGGAGGACCGAACCGACUAAUGUUGAAAAAUUAGCGGAUGACUUGUGGCUGGGGGUGAAAGGCCAAUCAAACCGGGAGAUAGCUGGUUCUCCCCGAAAGCUAUUUAGGUAGCGCCUCGUGAAUUCAUCUCCGGGGGUAGAGCACUGUUUCGGCAAGGGGGUCAUCCCGACUUACCAACCCGAUGCAAACUGCGAAUACCGGAGAAUGUUAUCACGGGAGACACACGGCGGGUGCUAACGUCCGUCGUGAAGAGGGAAACAACCCAGACCGCCAGCUAAGGUCCCAAAGUCAUGGUUAAGUGGGAAACGAUGUGGGAAGGCCCAGACAGCCAGGAUGUUGGCUUAGAAGCAGCCAUCAUUUAAAGAAAGCGUAAUAGCUCACUGGUCGAGUCGGCCUGCGCGGAAGAUGUAACGGGGCUAAACCAUGCACCGAAGCUGCGGCAGCGACACUAUGUGUUGUUGGGUAGGGGAGCGUUCUGUAAGCCUGUGAAGGUGGCCUGUGAGGGUUGCUGGAGGUAUCAGAAGUGCGAAUGCUGACAUAAGUAACGAUAAAGCGGGUGAAAAGCCCGCUCGCCGGAAGACCAAGGGUUCCUGUCCAACGUUAAUCGGGGCAGGGUGAGUCGACCCCUAAGGCGAGGCCGAAAGGCGUAGUCGAUGGGAAACAGGUUAAUAUUCCUGUACUUGGUGUUACUGCGAAGGGGGGACGGAGAAGGCUAUGUUGGCCGGGCGACGGUUGUCCCGGUUUAAGCGUGUAGGCUGGUUUUCCAGGCAAAUCCGGAAAACCAAGGCUGAGGCGUGAUGACGAGGCACUACGGUGCUGAAGCGACAAAUGCCCUGCUUCCAGGAAAAGCCUCUAAGCAUCAGGUAACAUCAAAUCGUACCCCAAACCGACACAGGUGGUCAGGUAGAGAAUACCAAGGCGCUUGAGAGAACUCGGGUGAAGGAACUAGGCAAAAUGGUGCCGUAACUUCGGGAGAAGGCACGCUGAUAUGUAGGUGAAGCGACUUGCUCGUGGAGCUGAAAUCAGUCGAAGAUACCAGCUGGCUGCAACUGUUUAUUAAAAACACAGCACUGUGCAAACACGAAAGUGGACGUAUACGGUGUGACGCCUGCCCGGUGCCGGAAGGUUAAUUGAUGGGGUUAGCGGUAACGCGAAGCUCUUGAUCGAAGCCCCGGUAAACGGCGGCCGUAACUAUAACGGUCCUAAGGUAGCGAAAUUCCUUGUCGGGUAAGUUCCGACCUGCACGAAUGGCGUAAUGAUGGCCAGGCUGUCUCCACCCGAGACUCAGUGAAAUUGAACUCGCUGUGAAGAUGCAGUGUACCCGCGGCAAGACGGAAAGACCCCGUGAACCUUUACUAUAGCUUGACACUGAACAUUGAGCCUUGAUGUGUAGGAUAGGUGGGAGGCUUUGAAGUGUGGACGCCAGUCUGCAUGGAGCCGACCUUGAAAUACCACCCUUUAAUGUUUGAUGUUCUAACGUUGGCCCGUAAUCCGGGUUGCGGACAGUGUCUGGUGGGUAGUUUGACUGGGGCGGUCUCCUCCUAAAGAGUAACGGAGGAGCACGAAGGUUGGCUAAUCCUGGUCGGACAUCAGGAGGUUAGUGCAAUGGCAUAAGCCAGCUUGACUGCGAGCGUGACGGCGCGAGCAGGUGCGAAAGCAGGUCAUAGUGAUCCGGUGGUUCUGAAUGGAAGGGCCAUCGCUCAACGGAUAAAAGGUACUCCGGGGAUAACAGGCUGAUACCGCCCAAGAGUUCAUAUCGACGGCGGUGUUUGGCACCUCGAUGUCGGCUCAUCACAUCCUGGGGCUGAAGUAGGUCCCAAGGGUAUGGCUGUUCGCCAUUUAAAGUGGUACGCGAGCUGGGUUUAGAACGUCGUGAGACAGUUCGGUCCCUAUCUGCCGUGGGCGCUGGAGAACUGAGGGGGGCUGCUCCUAGUACGAGAGGACCGGAGUGGACGCAUCACUGGUGUUCGGGUUGUCAUGCCAAUGGCACUGCCCGGUAGCUAAAUGCGGAAGAGAUAAGUGCUGAAAGCAUCUAAGCACGAAACUUGCCCCGAGAUGAGUUCUCCCUGAGACUUAGAGUCUCCUGAAGGAACGUUGAAGACGACGACGUUGAUAGGCCGGGUGUGUAAGCGCAGCGAUGCGUUGAGCUAACCGGUACUAAUGAACCGUGAGGCUUAACCUUACAACGCCGAAG